CUCCUGGGCACUAAGGGUAGCGUUAGUAUCUAAAGGAACAAGCAGCGAUGACUCUCAUCAAGGAGUACCGUGUGGUUUUACCCUGCAGUAUUGAGGAGUAUCAAGUUGGACAGCUGUUCUCGGUGGCUGAAGCAAGUAAAAAUGAGACGGGUGGUGGCGAGGGUAUUGAGGUACUCAAAAAUGAGCCCUAUGAAAAAGACGGGGAGAAAGGACAAUACACACACAAAAUCUACCACAUUAAGAGUAAAGUCCCACCGUUUGUCAAACUGUUUGCGCCUGAAGGCUCCCUGGUAUUCCACGAGAAAGCCUGGAAUGCCUACCCCUACUGCAGAACCAUUGUGACGAAUGAUUACAUGAAAGACAACUUCUUCAUUAAGAUUGAGACGUGGCACAAACCAGACCUCGGGACGCAAGAAAAUGUGCACAAACUAGACAGUUCCACGUGGAAGAACGUAGCGGUUGUGCCCAUUGACAUUGCAGACAGAAGUCAGGUGUCCAAUGCUGACUACAAACAAAAUGAGGACCCUGCCAAGUUCAAGUCAGCUAAGACUGGACGAGGACCCCUCGGGCCCACCUGGAAGAAAGAGCUGCUUCGUAAGACGGACUGCCCAAAGAUGUGUGCCUACAAACUGGUCACGGUCAAAUUCAAGUGGUGGGGCCUGCAGACCAAAGUGGAGAACUUCAUACAUGAGCAAGAGAAGAGGAUCUUCAAUAACUUCCACCGCCAGCUCUUUUGUUGGAUUGAUAAGUGGGUGGAGCUGACUAUGGAGGAUAUCAGGCAGAUGGAGGCGGAGACACAGAAGGAGCUGGAAGAGCUGCCCCCGAUAUCAAGAGUGUUUUGUCUGAUGCUUGCCCCGAUCUUCAAAUGAACCAGUGCUGCACCAGUCUGGGUGGAGCUUCUGUCUCCCAAUCUCUACACACAUCCGAGAAGUUGAAUAGACGAGGAGUGUGCUAAAAACAAACGGACGAGUGGCUGGGCCAGCUUUAGGUCCGAGUGUUGCUGUGUACGUUCUCGCAGGUUGAGGCCGGUCUCGGAGGCUUUCUCUGGGGCUCCGGUCGCCGCCCGCCGAUGCUGCUUUCAUUCUCUCCUCUCCGGUGUUGUCGAAGGGAUUUCUGUCCACGUGUAUGUAUUGCACUUGCUCCUCCAUAGCUCACUCUAAUACGUUAAUCAAUAACACCAGAUCGCAGAUAAAUAUGUGCUUGGUUGCUAGGCGUGUUGCUGACCCAGUGAAAACACCCGACCAUCCUUUGCACCAGUGUCUCUCGCACAUGCGUGUGUAUGCAUUGCCGUGACAUCUGGACAGACCUUUUCUCAGAAUCGCCCGUGCUGUUUUUAAGAGGUGGCCAGCAGUUAAACGCAUCCACAGAAGACCUGUUCAUGACCAGUACCUGCAAACCAGAGCCUCCCCAAAGAGGAAUACUAGGUCGAGAUUAAAAGCAGUCGAAGCUUCAAUUUCUGUGAAUCUCAUUGUGUGUAAACCCGUACCACUGGUUUGCUCUUGGAACCACUCUCGAUAUCAACCUGGAAGCUCUGGCCGUGCAAGAAGGAAAACGGGAGGACUUGAGAAUGGACUGGCCAAAGUGGGCCAGGCUCAAACAUUCCUGACCUACCAGAAAACACACCCCUCCUCCCCUGCACUCGCAUCUUGCCCAAUUCAGCAUGUGUUUCUCAUUUUCUCCUGGAGUAAGUAAACAAGCGGGUGCCAUCAAGGAGGGACGCGGAGGCCCAGAUGCAGACGCUGCCCUUCAGGUUCUUGACAAGACUGUAGCGGCUUCGCAGACGGGGAGAAGUACGAGGGACCACCGCUGCAGACAAAUGAGAAGGCGAAGAAUUUUAAACGCCCACAACGACAGCGAAGAGGCCUCCUUCGGUGCCUCGAUUUUACCAGAAUGGAUUUUGUGCAGCAGUGAGGGGGAGGAGGAGGAGGAGGAGGAGGGGGGGGGGGAGCUCUGCUACCUGCAAUCAAUAGAGCAGAUCCCUGACUUGCAUCCAAUCAUAGACAUUCUAUACACUGAGGAAUUGAUUUCUAGAAACCAACACGAUCCUAGCUGAUAAGAUUCAUUUUGAUCUCCCGGGCAGAGAAGGGCCAGCGAUCAGCAUCGUGUUAUUGACGGGACCUGGCCUGCUGGAGAGCGACGAGGACGGGCAUCUUUUUACAGAACAUAUUCAUUGACUUGAUUCCACAGUGGCCGGCGGUGGACCCAAUAUUCCGUCCGUCGUAUUUAGAUUUGUCCUUUUUCCUGCAUGACGUUCCUCUUGAGAAGAUGCCCUGUCCGAUCUCUCUCUGCGUCUCCUCCUCGGUCACAACUGUCCACAUUGUGGCUCAGUGGUUUGCAUUCCCCGGCACGAGUCUGUCGUACUCGUGUUCCUUCCUGCCACAGCCUCCGUUUAGAGAUUACUAACACCCUUGGCGCCUAGGCCUGUUGUAAUCCCCCCCAUCACCCCACCUUCCCCAAAGCUCUGCAUCUUAUUAACGCUGACGAUCAUGCCCGUACAGGUAUUCACUUCCACUCACAUACAGACUUAAUAGAAACCCCCCCCCACACACACACACACGUUGACGUUACGCAUAUACAUCGCUCGCACAAGGAUAAACAUGUUAAUUAAUUCUCACACUCACAGGUGUGGAUGCCUUUGUGAUGACUGGUGUCUGAAAAUCUCAAGCAGGGCAGAUCUAUGCAAGCUUGUUCAGCUCAGGGAUGUUACUUUGGAAGUGUUUACAGCUUCAACUGACCCCACACACACACACGCGCACGCUCCCUCCACACACACGCAUGAUUCUAAAGACAUUCACACACAACAUACAACACAGCAUUCACCUUCAAUACAGAAGUCCCUCGAGAGAGAGAGAGAAAAGACCCUGAAAAACAGCCACAGAUGGUGCUUCACCCCUCGAGCCUCUUGUCACGAGCCAAUCUGCGCCGCGCUGCUCGCCCCACCUCGCCCCAUCUCUCUCUUCUGGCUCUCGGAGGUAGACGGUGUCCCAGAAGGCCUUUUUUUGCUCCUGCUAAAUUGUAGGUGUGUUUACAGAAAGCCGGACCAGUGCCCCGUCGACACCAGCGUCACACACUUCUUGCCUUAAACUCUGGACCUCUGGACCUAUUAUAACGACUGUACCUCUGCUGUCAGCUCUUGCUCUCGCUACCUCGCUUGUUUCUGGCUGGCAAUUUGCUUUUUACACCUAAAGGUUAGAACAAGCUAUUUGCCUGCUCGGUGUUCUGGAGUAAAUCACGGCAGAAAAGUUGUUUGUGAUGACUCUAUUUUCUUUCUGGUUUGUAGAAUUGCAUGAGGCUCCUUGUGUAUCCUGAUAAAUGUCACAGCGACUGAGCCGGUGCAAUUCCUUCAGCAGGCAAAAUCUGUAAGGAGCAGCCGCAGCAGCUUGGACUGCUGUUGGUGCCACCAGCUGCAGAUCUACUUCUCUGCCAUUUGAUUGACGUGUCAUAUUAAUGACUCUUCAGCUCCAAAGUGAAGGCUUUACAAUCACGUGGCACUGGCCAACAGUGUUGGUCAUCACCAGUGUUACAUACAUAGUACAAGUGGUUUCCUCAUUUCAUGCUUGUCGUUUGUGUUUUUGUUUGUUUCUAAUGUAUCAGUCUUAAAUUGGGUCGAAUUUGGGGAUUUGAUUUUAAGAUAUAUUUUCCUUUCAAGACACGUAUAUAAUGAGAUCAUCUUGGGUCAAAGAUCCAAAUGUUUUAGUUGUCUCUAAAUCAAAUGUGGGAGUGUGAAUAGCCGUAAAUGGUUAUUGGCUUAUCCAAAGAGAAUGAAUGGAUUUCUGAUAUGUUUACAUGAAUUCAGCGUCUGUCGGCUGGUGGUGUAGGAUGAUCGGGAAGGCAACAUUUUUCUUCACAAGAAAAUCUUCUCGGGUCAACGAUACGACACGCGUAAUAUUAUUAUUUUGAUAUUGUUGCUUUAUCACUUGUCCCAAAUAAUUGGCGUCUUUACACCAUACCAUAUCCUUUUCUGUGGGAAAUAUGGUACAAUGUCAAUAUGAUGGGGAGUGGUGGUAAUUUAUCCUAUUUAGUUGUGUCACAGUAUACGAGACGGCCAGCCAGUCACACUGUACUGGGAUUGUGUUCAUAUGUCUUAAAAAAGAAGAAAGUGUGACUCAAUUGAUCUUCAAUCAAUGAUUUCCAGUCUAAUGAUUUCUAGUCUGUCUAAAUGAUUCCUGCUCUCUGUUCACAAGAGGAAGCGGUGGCUAAAGAGAGCAACCGCAAUUAACGGUUGCAAUCAAAUGCUGCUCCCAUCUGAAAGACGAUGCAGAAGGUGGGUGGGGGGGGAAAGUACUUGCAAAGCAACUUUACACUCUUAUCCUAAUUUAUGGAAUUUACAACUUUAAUUUCUGAACCACUUGCUUUUAAAUGUUUGUGAUCAGCUUUUGAAAUUCAGGGGACAUGGUGGUAAAUGUAUGAGACGAUGUGCCUUUUCUUUCUGAGAUCUCGUGUGCCAUUAAAUCUUCACAAUGUAUCUAAAUAUCAAAUAAACUGUCAGAUUAUG